AAAGGCAUUGUGAGAGAGUGAAACGCAGGUGAGUGAGGUUAGCGAGAGAGAGUGAGUUUGAACGGUGGAGUGAGAAGGAGUGAUACCGAGAGGGAGAGGUACGUUGAGCUUCUGUUACGUUUUUAUUUUUUUCUUUUAAUUUAUUUCAAAUAGGAUAAAUAAUAAAUAAUGAAGAACAUUCAUUUUUCCUAGGAUAGUAUUUAAUAGUGUUAUUUUAUAUUUCCAAUUUCUCUUUGAAAACCCAACAGCCAUGCGGCUGGGUUUAAUUACCAGUAGACCGAUAGUUUUCUUUCAUUUUAGUUUUUAUUUUAAUCCUUUUUCUUAAUUUAUUUUAGUUUAUAUAUUUAGGUUAGUCUUAAAAUAACAGUUAGUUGUUAAAUAGCCUAAUGGAGAGAGGGUAGUGCUGUAAUCUCAAGAGG
rnacentral:lncRNA from 1 species